CUACGGGCGGCUGCAGUGGGGAAUAUUGGACAAUGGGGGCAACCCUGAUCCAGCCAUGCCGCGUGUGUGAAGAAGGCCUUAGGGUUGUAAAGCACUUUCAGAUGUGAGGAAAGGUGUGUGCUUAAUACGUACAUACUGUGACGUUAGCAUCAGAAGAAGGACCGGCUAACUCCGUGCCAGCAGCCGCGGUAAUACGGAGGGGUCCGAGCGUUAAUCGGAAUUACUGGGCGUAAAGCGCGCGUAGGUGGUUUCGUCAGUCAGAUGUGAAAGCCCCGGGCUCAACCUGGGAAUUGCACCUGAUACUGCGGAGCUAGAGUACGGUAGAGGGGAGUGGAAUUUCAGGUGUAGCGGUGAAAUGCGUAGAGAUCGGAAGGAACACCAGUGGCGAAGGCGACUCCCUGGAUUGAUACUGACACUGAGGUGCGAAAGCGUGGGGAGCAAACAGGAUUAGAUACCCCCGUAGUC
rnacentral:rRNA from 1 species